CAGAACCAUCUGUUAGAACAAAUAUAUUGCGAUCAGAUAUAAUUAAAGGAUACACGUAUUGGGAAAGCUACUCAACAGAAGCUGAAUAGCGAUUUAAAGCUUUUUUUUUUGCGUAAUAAAGUGCCCAAUUACUUUAAUAACAACGUGGAGGACAUAAGAAGUAGUUAUCAACUUGAUCAAGACAGGACACUUGGUAUUAAAAGAUAAUUACAAAAUUGUGCUUUAGAUGCGGGCUGCGUCGAACUGUGGAAGUGCUGCUGCCAAUAUAAUUAGCUUUGCGGUAUAAUUUACCGACAUUACGUUCAGUUGCAAAUAACAGCGUUGCGUCUGCGCAAUCCAUGACCACAUACUGCAGGAUGGCGUACGACAAAUGACUCCGAUUUAUAAUCUAGAUCUGGUUACUGAAUAUCGAGUUUACAUUUGCGAAAUUGGAUACGUUAAUGUUCAGUUCUUGCAAGACAAGCGUUUAAUUGCAGGUCAGAGGACGUAAUUCGCGUUCCGGCGCGGAUUAUUGCGAUAUUAGGUUUCACGUACCUACCUACUACUGUUAAUUGUACGAAUGACGGUUGCAUUUAAGGGGCGAAAAUGAAAUUGGAAGUAGUACCUGUUCUUUUGCUAACUGGAACCAAGUCUUCAAGAUGAUCGGUAAUCUUGUGUACUGAUAAUGUUUAGUUGUUUUAACACUAAUAAAAAUAUCGUUUAAGGUAA